rnacentral:misc_RNA from 1 species
GUUUUCAAUUCUCUAUAAUUGAUACGUCAAGGUAUUCCGUAGUGUUUGAAAUUGAUUUUUGCUUUCUUGAGAUUAUAAACCAAACAUGUUCAUGGGUUUCAAGACAUCGUUCUUGAAAUUCGCAUCAAUUUUAAUAUCAGAGCCUUGUCUCCAAAUCAGGUUUUAUCAAUCCUUUGUGUUUUCCUUUUGUUCUGUGUUCAUCGUACUAUUUCAUUUUGUGACUUGUUCAUCAAUUCCUUAUUUCUUUAUGUUUUGCAUUUUCUUCAGUAAU